rnacentral:rRNA from 1 species
UACGUAGGGGGCAAGCGUUGUCCGGAAUCAUUGGGCGUAAAGCGCGUGUAGGCGGCUCGGUAAGUCCGCUCUGAAAGUCCAAGGCUCAACCUUGGGAUGCGGGUGGAUACUGCCGGGCUCGAGUCCGGAAGAGGCGAGUGGAAUUCCUGGUGUAGCGGUGAAAUGCGCAGAUAUCAGGAGGAACACCUGUGGCGAAAGCGGCUCACUGGACCAUAACUGACGCUGAUGCACGAAAGCUAGGGGAGCAAACAGG